ensembl:snRNA Gm22663 predicted gene, 22663
GUGCUUGCAGCAGCAGCACUACAAUAAAACUGGAAUGAUAGGGAGGUUAGCAUGGGCCUGUGCAAGAAUGACACAAAAGUUCAUCAAGUGUUCCCAGUUUUU